rfam:Chlorocebus sabaeus isolate 1994-021 chromosome 11, whole genome shotgun sequence.
GUGCUCACUUGGGCAGCACAUAUUCUAAAACUGGAAUGAUACAAAGAAGACUAGCUUGGUCCCUGCACAAGGAUGACAUGAUUUAAAAUAUUCUAAAGUAUGCU